rnacentral:rRNA from 1 species
AGGCCAGUCGAACGACUCGGACUAUGGCGAGAAGUGGCAAACUGCUCAGUAACACGUAGCUAACCUACCCUCAGGACGGAGACAACCCCGGGAAACUGGGGUUAAUCCCCGAUAGGCGUGAAUUCCUGGAAUGGUGUCACGCCGAAACGUUAACACACCAUGUUCGUGUACCGCCUGAGGAUGGGGCUGCGGCCGAUCAGGCAGUUGGUGAGGUAACGGCUCACCAAACCUUUGACCGGUACGGGCCGUGAGAGCGGUAGCCCGGAGAUGGACACUGAGACAAGGGUCCAGGACCUACGGGUCGCAGCCGGUACGAAACCUCCACAAUGCACGCAAGUGCGAUGGGGUUACCUCGAGUGCCGCCUGAAGAAGGCGGCUUUUCCAUUGUGUAAUGAGCCGUGGGAAUAGGGGGGGGCAAGACUGGUGUCAGCCGCCGCGGUAACACCAGCCCCCCGAGUGGUGGGGAUGUUUAUUUGGCCUAAAACGUCCGUAGCCAGCUAGGUAAAUCUCUCGUUAAAUCCAGCGUCCUAAGCGUUGGGCUGCGAGAGAGACUGCCAAACUAGAGGGUGGGAGAGGUCAGCGGUAUUUCUGGGGUAGGGGCGAAAUCCAUUGAUCCCAGGAGGACCACCAGUGGCGAAGGCUGCUGACUAGAACACGCCUGACGGUGAGGGACGAAAGCUGGGGUAGCGAAUCGGAUUAGAUACCCGAGUAGUCCCAGCCGUAAACGAUGCAGGCUAGGUGUUGGGUUGGCCAUGUGCCGACUCAGUGCCACAGGGAAGCCAUUAAGCCUGCUGCCUGGGGAGUACGGUCGCAAGGCUGAAACUUAAAGGAAUUGGCGGGAGAGCACCACCAGGCGUGAAGCCUGCGGUUUAAUUGGAUUCAACGCCGGAA